ACAUCCGUUUCACUAUCUGCAUA
rnacentral:miRNA from 2 species